rnacentral:rRNA from 1 species
UACGUAGGGCGCAAGCGUUUGUCCGGAAUUAUUGGGCGUAAAGAGCUCGUAGGCGGUCUGUCGCGUCUGCUGUGAAAACCCGAGGCUCAACCUCGGGCCUGCAGUGGGUACGGGCAGACUAGAGUGCGGUAGGGGAGAAUGGAAUUCCUGGUGUAGCGGUGAAAUGCGCAGAUAUCAGGAGGAACACGGUGGCGAAGGCGGCCCACUGGUCCGGUACUGACGCUGAGGUGCGAAAGCGUGGGGAGCAAACAGG